GAAACGACUGCUAAGACUGGAUAGAAGCCAAGGGAAGGCUCUUCUCUGUUUUUAAAGACCUAGCAAUAGGUAUGCUUAGGGAGGAGCUUGCGUCACAUUAGUUAGUUGGUGGGGUAAAGGCCUACCAAGACUAUGAUGUGUAGCCGGGGCUGAGAGGUUGAACGGCCACAUUGGGACUGAGACACGGCCCAAACUCCUACGGGAGGCAGCAGUAGGGAAUUUUCGGCAAUGGAGGAAACUCUGACCGAGCAACGCCGCGUGAACGAUGAAGUAUUUCGGUACGUAAAGUUCUUUUAUUAGGGAAGAAUAAAUGAUGGAAAAAUCAUUCUGACGGUACCUAAUGAAUAAGCCCCGGCUAACUAUGUGCCAGCAGCCGCGGUAAUACAUAGGGGGCAAGCGUUAUCCGGAAUUAUUGGGCGUAAAGGGUGCGUAGGCGGUUAAAUAAGUUUAUGGUCUAAGUGCAAUGCUCAACAUUGUGAUGCUAUAAAAACUGUUUAGCUAGAGUAAGAUAGAGGCAAGUGGAAUUCCAUGUGUAGUGGUAAAAUGCGUAAAUAUAUGGAGGAACACCAGUAGCGAAGGCGGCUUGCUGGGUCUUUACUGACGCUGAGGCACGAAAGCGUGGGGAGCAAACAGGAUUAGAUACCCUGGUAGUCCGCGCCGUAAACGAUGAGUACUAAACGUUGGGUAAAACCAGUGUUGAAGUUAACACAUUAAGUACUCCGCCUGAGUAGUACGUACGCAAGUAUGAAACUUAAAGGAAUUGACGGGACUCCGCACAAGCGGUGGAUCAUGUUGUUUAAUUCGAAGGUACCCGAAAAACCUCACCAGGUCUUGACAUGCUUCUGCAAAGCUGUAGAAACACAGUGGAGGUUAUCAGUUGCACAGGUGGUGCAUGGUUGUCGUCAGCUCGUGUCGUGAGAUGUUGGGUUAAGUCCCGCAACGAGCGCAACCCUUAUUGUUAGUUACCAGCACGUAAUGGUGGGGACUUUAGCAAGACUGCCAGUGAUAAAUUGGAGGAAGGUGGGGACGACGUCGAAUCAUCAUGCCCCUUAUGACCUGGGCUACAAACGUGAUACAAUGGCUGUUACAAAGGGUAGCUGAAGCGCAAGUUUUUGGCGAAUCUCAAAAAAACAGUCUCAGUUCGGAUUGAAGUCUGCAACUCGACUUCAUGAAGUUGGAAUCGCUAGUAAUCGCGAAUCAGCUGUCGCGGGGUGAAUACGUUCUCGGGGUUUGUACACACCGCCCGUCA
rnacentral:rRNA from 1 species